rnacentral:rRNA from 1 species
GUUAGGAAUAUUGGACAAUGGGCGCAAGCCUGAUCCAGCUAUGCCGCGUGAACGAUGAAGGCCUUCGGGUUAUAAAGUUCUUUAGCCGAUGAUUAUAAUGACAGUAGUCGGAAAAUAAGCCCCGGCUAACUUCGUGCCAGCAGCCGCGGUAAUACGAAGGGGGCGAGCGUUAUUCGGAAUCACUGGGCGUAAAGCGUGCGUAGGCGGCUUUGCAAGUUGGGAGUGAAAGCCCAGGGCUCAACCCUGGAAUUGCUCUCAAAACUGCAAGGCUCGAAUUCGGGAGAGGAUAGCGGAAUUGUCAGUGUAGCAGUGAAAUGCGUAGAUAUUGACAGGAACACCAGUGGCGUAAGCGGCUAUCUGGACCGAUAUUGACGCUGAGGCACGAAAGCGUGGGGAUCAAACAGGAUUAGAAACCCCAGUAGUCC